GGUGGAGCAUGUGGUUUAAUUCGAAGCAACGCGAAGAACCUUACCUGCGCUUGACAUCCCUAUCGCGGAUUAGAGAGAUCUUUUCCUUCAGUUCGGCUGGAUAGGUGACAGGUGCUGCAUGGCUGUCGUCAGCUCGUGUCGUGAGAUGUUGGGUUAAGUCCCGUAACGAGCGCAACCCUUGUCCCUAGUUGCCAGCACUUCGGGUGGGAACUCUAGGGAGACUGCCGGUGACAAACCGGAGGAAGGUGGGGAUGACGUCAGGUCAUCAUGGCCCUUACGGCCAGGGCUACACACGUGCUACAAUGGUGCGCACAGAGGGCUGCAAACCCGCGAGGGGGAGCCAAUCUCACAAAACGCAUCGUAGUCCGGAUCGCAGUCUGCAACUCGACUGCGUGAAGUCGGAAUCGCUAGUAAUCGUGAAUCAGAAUGUCACGGUGAAUACGUUCCCGGGCCUUGUACACACCGCCCGUCACACCAUGGGAGCUGGUUAUGCCCGAAGUCGUUAUACCAACCGUUUGGAGGAAGACGCCUAAGGUAGAGCUAGUGACUGGGGUGAAGUCGUAACAAGGUAGCCGUAGGGGAACCUGCGGCUGGAUCACCUCCUU
rnacentral:rRNA from 1 species